GGGUCUUAGAGCUGAGCCUGUAGCCGGGCGCCAUCUUUGACUCUGGCAGUCUUGGAUUUCUGCUGGUGUUGCUGCUGAGAAGACGGCGGGCGGCAGCGGCUAAGAAAGAAGAAAGACGUGGCAGCAAGCGGGAGUCGGGGAUAGUGUCGACGGUUCGGUAAAGUUUCUGUUCUCUGGGCCCCACUACUUGGGAGAUUUUCUCAAACUCCACACACAGAAAGCCACCGACCUUAUUCCGGUAUCCUACACCCCUUUCGUUCCUUAAUUACACUUCCCACCCCCAGCCCUCAGCAUCGGAAUCAAGAACAACAGGGACACUUCCGUUCUUCUUGUGGGAUUGAUGAAACCGUAAUGAAGAACACCCCCUAAACUCCCAUAAUCGGUGCGGAUUCUUAUGGGGAAGGCUCAUACUCUUGACAUCUUCCAGCCCUUGGUUCUGGACCUUGAGAAGGAGGCUGAACUAGUGAUAGCGAUGUUUUUUAGGGUAAAUGUGUGUAGGUACUGGGGGAAGGGGAGGGAUCAACCAAGAAGGCAUGAGAAUGGUUUAAAGCUAGUAUUUCAUUUUUUGCUGCUUAUAUAGAGUCCAACCUAGGAGUUACUCAUUUAUAGGCUGUACAGCUUCUCCAGUCUAAACAUGUCUAAAAACCAAGCAUGGAUUAACUCUUGAUACGAAAAGUAAAUUGAAAAAUCGCUUGUGAGUAAAAUUUUAAAGUUUUACUCUCAAAGCUUUUUUUUUUUUUUUCCUGCCUAUAUUUUUAAAAGAACUGUGUUACUGUUACUGUUUUAGAGUUGAAAGGGCUCAAGUAGCAUUUUGCUGUUAAUGACCAGUAUGUGGAGUCUGAUUUAACUUUCCAGAGUUGACGUUUGGAGUUAUAUUGCCAAAUUGCAGUCCUAAAUGGUGAAUGUUGAAUGAUGCACUAUGUUUUUGUUUAAAUGAAAUUUAUGGAAAAUAAUUAACUUCAUUCAGAAUUAGGGGAAAUUGAUGUUGCUAUCAUGAGGCAGCAUUAAAAAAUACAUAUUUUAAAAGCUGAAGACAUUUCAAGCAGGUUUAGUUUCUGAUGAAAGAGAAAGAACAUGGACCUGAGAUUUAAAAAACCUGGUUUCUAGCUGCUACUCAUCAACUUUAUUACACUGGGAAAGUGGGCCUCAGUUCUUUUUCUAUAAACAUGAAUAAAUUGGACUAUUUGAAUUCAGAAGUCAGAAAGUUGGAAGGGAUCUUAAAGCCCUCUAUGAAAAAGUUUGGAAAUGUUCUCCAUUGCUGUCAUUUUUCCUCCAAAAAUAACCUGGCUUGGAAGUCAUUGGUCCAAAGGGAAUUUGACUCCCCAUAGAAAUUGGAGAAAAGGUGAUGCAAGUAGAGAGGAACAGCUGUGUAUAUGUUUGAGGAGUAAACUCACUAACAGAUUCUGGUACGAAUUUUGGAGACUUAAAAAGGAUGAGUGUAUGUACCCUAAGUGUACCAGUUUCCUCACUUUCUCCUGGUAGAAGAUGUAGCACUUACAGUGGUGCUGGGAUUCUGGGGUGUGUUCCUAUUCCUUCUAAUACAGAUGAAGAAGAUGUGGUAGAGGGAAAGAUGGUAGCAGGAAUGGAUAAAGAGGCGGAAUUGCCCACUAAAAAGAAAAGAAAGAAGGGUUUGCGAAUUAAGGGGAAAAGGCGACGAAAGAAACUGAUCCUUGCAAAAAAGUUUAGUAAGGAUUUGGUAUCUGGGAGGUCAGUUGCAGAUGCCCCUACUUUGUUAGAUUCUAGUGCCCCUGAGCAGGAUGAAGAAAGUCUUUUUGAAAGCAAUAUAGAAAAACAGAUCUAUUUACCUAGUACCAGAGCCAAGACCUCCAUUGUGUGGCACUUCUUUCAUGUGGACCCGCAGUAUACCUGGAGGGCUAUUUGUAACCUCUGUGAAAAAAGUGUUAGUAGGGGUAAACCAGGUAGCCAUCUCGGCACAUCUACUCUUCAACGACAUCUGCAGGCAAGGCAUUCACCUCAUUGGACAAGGGCCAACAAAUUUGGAGUUACAAGUGGGGAGGAGGAUUUUACUUUGGAUGCACCUUUAUCUCCCUCUUCUGCUGGAAGUAGUGGAAGCUUUGAAUAUAUCCCUGCUGAUCCAUUAGAUAAUGGAAUGGGUAAGAAACGUGAUAAAUCAGUAUCUGAUGCCCUAAGGGCACAAAGAGGGAGAUUUCUCAUUAAAAGUAACAUUGUCAAGCAUGCCUUAAUUCCGGGAACAAGAGCCAAGACAUCUGCAGUUUGGAAUUUUUUCUAUACUGAUCCUCAGCACAUCUCAAGAGCUGUGUGUAAUAUAUGUAAACGAAGUGUGAGCCGGGGUAGGCCGGGUUCUCACCUAGGAACUUCAACACUUCAACGACACCUGCAGGCCACUCAUCCCAUCCAUUGGGCAGUUGCCAACAAAGACAGUGGUGCAGUUGGAAAUGGAUUAGAUGAAGCUGAAACUGAGAGAAAUGAUCUCUUGAGUGACACUUUGCGUGGAGAGAAGUCUGCAGGGGGACAAGAUGUAGCAGCUGAGCACCUUAGUGACUCUGAUUCAGAUGAACCUCCUGUAUUAGAGGUUGAAAAUAGAAGAUCUGAGAGUCCUACUCCUGUUGCAGAGCAAGACACUCAAAUGCAUGCACAAGAGCAAGAAACAGCAUACUGUGAAAAUUCAACCUCAAGUCAAAUAAGUCAGGCAAUUAUUCAAAUGAUUGUCGAAGAUAUGCAUCCUUACAACUAUUUCUCAACCCCAGCCUUUCAGAGGUUCCUGCAGAUUGUGGCCCCUGACUAUAGGUUACCCUCUGAAACUUACUUUUUCACUAAGGCUGUACCUCAAUUAUAUGAUUCAGUCAGAGAAAAAAUUUUCUUAACUUUGGAGAAUGUUCAGACCCAAAAGAUCCACUUGACUGUGGACAUAUGGACCCAUGACCCAUCCACUGACUAUUUCAUUGUGACCGUACACUGGGUCUCUUUGGAAACUACAACUUCUUUCAAUAAUGGCAGGAUCCCCAACUUUAGAAGGUGGGCAGUUCUUUGUGUAACAGGUUUAGCCAAAAACUGUUUGAUAACCAACAUUUUACAAGAAUUAAAUGACCAGGUUGGUCUGUGGCUUUCUCCUAAUUUCCUCAUCCCUAGCUUCAUUGUUUCUGACAGUUCUUCUAAUGUAGUACACGCAGUCAAAGAUGGCGGUUUUACCCACGUGCCAUGCUUCCUGCGUUGUUUAAAUAUAGUCAUUCAGGACUUUUUCUGUGAGCACAAAAGCAUUGAGAACAUGUUAGUGGCUGCCAGGAAAACCUGUCAUCAUUUUAGUCACUCAGUCAAGGCCCGUCAGAUACUGCAAGAGUUCCAAAAUGAUCACCAACUUCCAUGGAAAAAUUUGAAACAAGAUGAAGCUGGCCAUUGGAUUUCUACCUUUUAUAUGUUAAAAUGGCUCUUGGAGCAUUGCUACUCAGUUCACCAUAGUCUUGGUAGAGCCAGUGGAGUUGUGCUCACCUCCCUUCAGUGGACUCUAAUGACAUAUGUUUGUGAUAUUCUCAAACCAUUUGAGGAGGCCACCCAGAAAGUGAGUGUGAAGACCAUAGGAUUGAAUCAUGUGCUACCCCUAAUCCAUCAUCUACUCCUUUCCCUGCAGAAACUCAGAGAAGAUUUUCAAGUUAGAGGUAUUACUCAGGCCCUCAAUCUGGUAGACAGUUUAUCUCUGAAACUUGAAACUGACACCCUACUAAGUGCCAUGCUCAAAUCCAAGCCCUGUAUCUUGGCUACUUUGUUAGAUCCUUGCUUUAAAAACAGUUUGGGAGACUUUUUUCCUCAAGGUGCUGAUUUGGAAACUUAUAAGCAGAUCCUUGCAGAAGAAGUUUGUAACUAUAUGGAAUCUUCGCCAGAGGUCUGCCAUAUUGCAACUUCAGAAGCUUCUGGUCCCUCAGCUAUAGUAGAAGCUGAUUCAUUUACCUCAUCUAUAAGGGAAGGCACCUCCAUUUCAGGAUCUGUUGAUAGUUCAGCUGCAGAUAAUGUUGCUGUUGGAGGCAAAAGCUUAAUGUUUCCUUCUGCUAUGGCAAUAGUGGAUGAAUACUUCAAAGAGAAGUAUUCAGAGAUCUCAGGGGGUGAUGACCCUUUGUUUUAUUGGCAGAAGAAGGUGAACGUAUGGCCAGCUUUGACCCAAGUUGCCAUUCAGUAUCUGAGCUGCCCCAUGUGUAGUUGGCAGUCUGAAUGUGUCUUUACUGCAAAUAGCCACUUUCAUCCAAAGCAGAUCAUGAGCCUGGACUUUGAUAAUAUAGAACAGCUGAUGUUUCUGAAAAUGAACUUGAAAAACGUUAACUAUGAUUAUUCUGCAUUGGUUCUAAGCUGGGAUCCUGAGAAUGAAGUUAUUCAAAGCAAUGAAAAAGAAAUAUUAUCUUAAUUUCUUUUUCCUUUCUCCAUUUAAAAUGGGCAACUUAUUGCUAUGUUAGUGUAUCCUAAUUGCUAUAAUUGUUAUGUGUAGUUAUACUAAUUAUUCUUUAUGCACUAUCUGGGGAAACCUGAGAACACAGAAAGGGCUGAAAAUUCCUCAGAGGUGGUACAGUAUCGACAAAGUGAAGACUAACUUUAAAGAUUUCAUAGUAGUAAUUCAGUAUAGCUAUCACCUGAAAUUUUGUUUGUACCAAUUGAAAGGGGAAAAGAGAUUUUUUUUAAUUAGAAAAAUAUAGUGCAGCAUUGAAAGGCCUUAGGCUAUUUCUGGCUGGUAGAUAGAACUAGUAAUUGGUUUUAAGUUAAAAUUUCUCUCAACUUGGGAAGGUUGAUUGCUCUGAAACCAAUAAAAUAGAGAAAAGGCAGGACUGUAUAGUCCAUGGGUUCGCAAAGUCGUAUAGAGUGGAGCGACUUUCAGUUUCAUACUAAACUGAUAUCUCCCCUCCCCCCACCACCACUAUUUUUCUAUUUCUUAAAAACCCUGAUUGAUACUUACAGCUUGGCAAAAACAAAAGUUCACAAAAUUGUUUUAUACUUGGGAAUUUCUAAUUGCCUCCUCAUACUGGUCAAUUUUAUAAUUUCAACUUAAUAAGUGUGAUAGAGUUGCCCGUUAUAUUUAAGACUGGAUCUAUAUAAAAUGGAAACAUUAGAAAACAAUUAGGAAAAAAUACUUUUAGUGUUUGAAUUGCCCUAUUUAACUUUUAUUGUAAAAACAAUAAAAGAUUAUAUAGGUACUUUUAUGUAAUUUAUGGGUAAAUGACAAAAAAUUUACAGAAUUGGAGAAGAUUGAAUGGGAAUUGAAAUGAAAGCCCCAUGAGCGUACUAUGACAAAACCAGUAUCUGUUUCCCAAAGAAUGUUUCUCUGAAUUUAAGUGAUCAUAAAUGUCUUUUUAAAAAUUACACUGAAUGAUCCAUAAUACUGUAUUCUUAACUGUGAGAUUAUUUUGGCCUUAAUUCUUACUUUAAAAUAAGCAGUGACUAUUUUCAUGUGUUAGGAAUCAUUGCCUCACUGGUUAAAUGAAAGAAUUGAUCUCAGUUGAUCUUGUCCCUUUCCACUCUUGAGAGUAUGUUUUUGUGAUCGAGUGGGAGGCCAGAAAUAAUGACUUUUAGUAAAAGUUUCAGACCGAAUAACUAAUGUAAGAUCCCAAUUUUUCCUUUUUUUCAUUUUAGAUUUGGGGAUAUUCCCUGCCCAAAAAUUUCCUGGAAAAUUGACUAGUAUUAAGUGUGAGUAAAAGGUGUCCACUUUUUUUAAAGUUUUGAUUUUAGUUUUGUCUUGGAUAGUAUUUGGCAAGAUUUAGCCUAGAAAUUAUGUAGUAUUUAUUACAUGAGAGUCAAAAUUGCUUUGUUACUGGGCUGGUUUCAAAAUUUAGAACUCAUUUCUAUGUAUCAAAAUCGCUCUUCAUUUUUGUUUUUUUGAAAUUCUUAAAUGGUAAAUGUACCAUUGUGAAAUGAAAUUUCAACUCCAAAAGUUUACCCUUUUACUAACUGGAGUAAAUGGAUAACUACAAGGUGUUUAGUUGUCGCCAUCACUAGUAAAGAAUUUGGAACUAGAUUGCACAAGCCUUUGCAGGGCCACCGUUGAAUGUCACACCAGUGACACGGGUGCUCUAAAAGGAGAAAAAAGUCUUCCCUUAGAUAGAAGCUCUCUGUGUUUGACGGCGCCAGUUCAGGAUGGCUGUAAUGCUGCUCUGCCUUCGACAGCUUGCUGCACCGCUCUGUAGUUACUCUGUCACUAUACAUCUCUAUCUUUUUUGGUUAAACACUCCCUGAAGAUGAUAAAAGAUGAUGUGACAAUAUACAUACAUCCAUAUUAUACACAUCGAUAUAUGUGUGAGGAUUUCCCUUCAUUUUUAUUUUGUGGGCUGGGCAAAAUUUAGUGUAGCAUUAAAGUACUUCAUGAUACUUUGGUAUAAGAGGAAAUUCACUAUUUUUAUAAUGACCCAAAUUUAAAGGCUUUUGUAGUGUAUUUUAAAAGGGAAAACUUACCCAGAUGUUUUAUUUCUACACAUUUGUGUACGUGUGUGUGUGUGUUUAUAAACCAGUUAGUAUAUAUGUAUAUGUAUAUUAUACAUAAAACACUAUAUUUUUACAUACAAGUAUGUUUUUAUUAUACAGAUAAUAAAGAUGGGGGAAGGUUUCUGUUUUUUUCUUAAUAGGUGAAGAAAUCUUGAAGACCAGAAAUUGGAUCUUAUUGAAUUUUGGUGUUUUUUGUUUUUUGUUUUUUUUUUCUUUCUUUUUUCUUUUUAAAUUAAUUGUUCGGCUAUGGAAGAUUGAUCUUUUUUUCUUUUUGAUAAUCCUUUGAAUCUCAAGUUCAUCUUUAUAUGAACUCUUUUUUGUUGUUGUUGUUGUUUUUUGUGUUUUUUUUGAGGAGAUAACUAACCCUAGCUGUCUCCAGUUUGACAAAGGUUAUUUGAAUGGACUUAAACUCUCAGUAGUUGAGAGAGAUUUUAAAAACACAUCCUGUGUUUGAAUUGUGGCUGAGAGGUUUCCUUGGCAAUGUGAGGAGGAAAAUUCUUUCUGCCUCAUUAUUAUUAACUCAUGGAUUGAGUGUUGGUUCGACCUACAGGCGUAAUAAAUUGGAACUCAGUGAAGACACAGACAUUCCUGUUGAGAUCAACCAGCUAAUGAUUAACAUUUAAAAGACGAUUUCUGUGAUUGACUUGUCUUUUGGAAGAUUAAACCCAUAUCAAGAGGACUUGGAGCUGGUCCUCACCUAGAGGAAGCAGUGGCUUAUUUUCAAAAAGCCACUUCUCAUCUAAGGAUCUACUC